UUCCAGAAUACUCUCUAGAAUUGAGCAAUUCCAUUGUAGAAUACUUUCUAGAAUAGAAUUGAAUACUCUAGAAUUUUGGACAAUUCUAUUCUAGAAUACUCUAGAAUUAAACAUUUUGGGGGGAUUUAACACCCAGUAUAGUAACUGAUGUUAAUACUUAAUACUCUCUAAUAAUUUGCUGCAGUUCAAAGCUACAAAAAAUAGUAGGUGGCCUUUGAGAUUACAUUCAUUUGUCACAUAUAGAACACUGCAGAAUAUAAUUGUGCAAUAAGUGAGUUCUGAGGGUUAACAAGAAGGAGAAUGAAGGGAUCAGCUAAUCCACUGAGGAGGGAUUGGUAUAAAGACAGGAGACACUGCUGCCUUUUCUUAGAAGACACUCUGCUGCUGCUUGGUGGAUUCAACUGCACAAAUGAGUCCUCUUUCCAGGUCUCCAUGGUGGAGAGGAGGUGGUGUGGCUCAGAUCCUACAUAGUGGGCGACACCAGAAGCUGCUCAAUUGUCCUCCUGGAUCCAUCCUCUUCAUUUAAUGUUUUACAAUCUACAUUUUGCCAUCAUAAUUGUGUAUACUGUGGCUUUCUGUUGUGAAUCGAUUCUGUACACAAGACAUCUACUGCCUGUCUAUCGCUCCUCUGUUGCUCUUCCUGAGGUUUCUUCCAUUUUUCCCUGUUAAAAGGGUUUUUCUGGGGGAGUUUUUCCUCAUUCGAAUCGAGGGUCUAAGGACAGAGGGUGUUGUAUGCUGUACAGAUUGUAAAGCCCCUUGAGGCAAAUUGUGAUUUGUGUUAUUGGGCUAUAUAAAUAAAAUUGACUUGACUUGAUUUUAAAGCCACUAAAGAGAUUCUCUCUGCAUCCCUGCUCUUGUGCACCAGUUUAUGGAUCCUGGUUGAGCAAGGUCAACUCCUCAGACCCAUGACAGUGAUGUACAGCUGUCAUAGCAAAGCUUCUGCUUCUGACUGACAGUCCAUCAUAGAGCACCAGACUGGACUGGUUUAGGUCAGAUGCCAGUGGUGGGCAAUGAGGAAUCCACAGCAGCAACAUGGCAGAGCUGCAUAAGACCACAAUAACUGGCUUUAAAUCACUUUAAAGGCCAGGUUGAGUGUAUGUUUUAAGUUGAGACAAAGCUUGAUGAGGGUUGAGGCCAAGGUGAGACUAAGACCAGUGCAAACUGAGUAUUAUUCAUGAUCAAAAUAGUCAAUAAUCAGUGUGUGUGCACAAUCAAUGGGGAGUAAACAUGAGAAAAGAUGUUAUAAUUAUUAUGAUCAGUACAUAAAAAAGUUGCCAAAAAACAUCAUAUUUUCACAGUUUCCAUGUUCACUGAAAUCAAGGUCUAUGCCACACUCAGGUACUGCUUUUUACUGUUGUUUCCUUGCACCAUGUGUGCCUUUUCGUACCCAUUUUACCAUCUUACAGUAGCCUCUGGUCGUGAUUCGUCAGUCAUCAAACAAUCUUACCAAAGUCCAGUUUCAGUUUCAGACAUGCAGUGGACUCAUUCAUCUGUCUCAUUAAGUCCUGAGGAUUAGUAGAAGGAGAUGUAGAUGAGGGGGAAAAUCAGAUUAAAAGAACUGUUAAAACUAAGCUGAUUAAUCCAAUAUUACCUGUAGGGUAGUAUCGCAGAACAGGGCCAAAAAUAACUAGUAGUGGAUGAAUGAAAGAGUGUUAUUGAAGAGAUUCCCUUCUCUCUGUCUCUCCCUCUUUUACAUGCUUGUCUUUGUAAUCAUUGUUCAAUUUUUCAUCUUCUUUUCUCCCACUGUCUUUCUCUCUCACCGCUCUCUUCAGCUCUCUCCCUCCAUCACCCUCAGGCUGACCCCAGUCUGAUUUUGAGCACUUCAAGUGUGCAAACAGCUGGAUAUCUGAGCUGGAAACAUUUACCUUCACUCCACUAUGUGUGUAAGUGUGUGUAUGUGUGAAUCUUGUAUGUGACUGAAUCUUUGAAACUGGCUGCAGUGCAGUAAGACAGAAAUUAAAAAUGAUCUUUGCCCCCUGUGUCUACUGCCAGGUCUGGAAUAAGCAUCUACAUGUAAACUCUGUUUCCAGGUUCUGUAUUUAGACCAGCAAAUUCAGUGACAAAAAUACACCAGGGGUAGAGCUAAAUCCCAGAUCCAGCACUGAAAGGAAGGAAAUUGUUUUUAGAGGACGAACUACAGAAAUCAAACCAAAUAUAGGAGGCAAAAGACAGAUAGACGUGAAAGAUAGUCCCCCCCCCCCCCCACUUCACAGCCCAUUAGGUCAGAGCAGAGCAAGGAGUCUGGCUGUGUAAUAUUGGCGAGGACACGGCUGAGGGAAGGACCUGGGAGGUUUUUAAAAGGCCGUGUUGUUGGCUGUGUGGGUGAGGUGAGAUGUCAUUUCCUCUCACUGCCUGAGAGCACCAUCGCAGUGAUAUAAAAGCAUGCAGUUUCUCAGCAGCUGCUGAAGGGUAGAGGGACCUAGAGGGGAGCAGGUAGACGAUGUGACGAUGAGUUUAUAUCAGAAAUAAUAUUUGAAAUACCAGUUCUAAAGCAAUUGUGUCCACUUUUCUUCAUGAACAAAGUGUUUUCAAUUAAUAAUAAUAGCUUUAGCACUAAAGAUUAUAUUUUCCAACCUUUUUUCUUG